UUACGAACAAAGGUGGAACUUUUAGGCCGCUCUCUCACGGCUGAAACACGGGUUCGAUUCCCGUAGGGGUCACCA
rnacentral:tRNA from 1 species